rnacentral:rRNA from 1 species
UACGUAGGGGGCAAGCGUUGUCCGGAUUUAUUGGGCGUAAAGAGCGUGUAGGCGGCCUGACAGGUCUGCUGUGAAAACUCGAGGCUCAACCUCGAGAUGUCGGCGGAAACCGUCUGGCUAGAGUCCGGAAGAGGAGAGUGGAAUUCCUGGUGUAGCGGUGAAAUGCGCAGAUAUCAGGAAGAACACCUAUGGCGAAGGCAGCUCUCUGGGACGGUACUGACGCUGAGACGUGAAAGCGUGGGGAGCGAACAGG